rnacentral:rRNA from 1 species
ACCCGCUGAAUUUAAGCAUAUCAAUAAGCGGAGGAAAAGAAACCAACAGGGAUUGCCUUAGUAACGGCGAGUGAAGCGGCAAAAGCUCAAAUUUGAAAUCGGCCACCAGGUCGAGUUGUAAUUUGUAGAUUGUAUCUUGAGAGCGGAUUAAAGUCUGUUGGAACACAGCGCCUUAGAGGGUGACAGCCCCGUAAAAUCUAUUCUCAUUGUAAGAUACUUUCGAAGAGUCGAGUUGUUUGGGAAUGCAGCUCUAAGUGGGAGGUAAAUUCCUUCUAAAGCUAAAUAUUGACGAGAGACCGAUAGCGAACAAGUACUGUGAAGGAAAGAUGAAAAGCACUUUGAAAAGAGAGUGAAAAAGUACGUGAAAUUGUUAAAAGGGAAGGGUAUUGAAUCAGACUUGGUGCUGUUGUUCAACUGUGUUUCGGCACAGUGUACUCAGCAGUACUAGGCCAAGGUGGGGUGUUUGGGAGUGAAAAAGAAGUUGGAACGUAACUCUUCGGAGUGUUAUAGCCUACUUUCAUAGCUCCUCAGGCGCCUCAGGACUGCGCUUCGGCAAGGACCUUGGCAUAAUGAUUCUAUACCGCCCGUCUUGAAACACGGACCAAGGAG